rnacentral:rRNA from 1 species
GAUGAACGCUGGCGGCGUGCCUAAUGCAUGCAAGUCGAGCGAACGGACGAGAAGCUUGCUUCUCUGAUGUUAGCGGCGGACGGGUGAGUAACACGUGGAUAACCUACCUAUAAGACUGGGAUAACUUCGGGAAACCGGAGCUAAUACCGGAUAAUAUUUUGAACCGCAUGGUUCAAAAGUGAAAGACGGUCUUGCUGUCACUAAUAGAUGGACCCGCGCUGCAUUGGCUAGUUGGUAAGGUAACGGCUUACCAAGGCAACGAUUCAUAGCCGACCUGAGAGGGUGAUCGGCCACACUGGAACUGGGACACGGUCCAGACUCCUACGGGAGGCAGCAGUAGGGAAUCUUCCGCAAUGGGCGAAAGCCUGACGGAGCAACGCCGCGUGAGUGAUGAAGGUCUUCGGAUCGUAAAACUCUGUUAUUAGGGAAGAACAUAUGUGUAAGUAACUGUGCACAUCUUGACGGUACCUAAUCAGAAAGCCACGGCUAACUACGUG